rnacentral:lncRNA from 1 species
UAUUUAUUACCUAACACAGAGUUAUCAGUAACCACACCAUUAAUUACAACGGGUUCAAUAUAAAGUUACAGCUAUCACUAACCACAAUCAAUUCAAUUCACAACACAUCAAUCUGACCCUAUGAAAUAUUUAUCCAACUUUCAAUCUAUGUAAGUUAUCAAGAUAGGCGUUUUACCUGUAUUGCAAUUGUAGUCGAGCCUUGAUGUCUCUUGAUCCGAACCAUCUUGAUCUGAACCUUGAUGUCUCUUGAUCCUUUAGUGGAACAUUGAUGUCCUCUUGAUCCG